rnacentral:rRNA from 1 species
CAGCAGCCACGGUAAUACGUAGGGUGCGAGCGUUAAUCGGAAUUACUGGGCGUAAAGCGUGCGCAGGCGGUUUUGUAAGACAGGCGUGAAAUCCCCGGGCUCAACCUGGGAAUGGCGCUUGUGACUGCAAAGCUAGAGUGCGGCAGAGGGGGAUGGAAUUCCGCGUGUAGCAGUGAAAUGCGUAGAUAUGCGGAGGAACACCGAUGGCGAAGGCAAUCCCCUGGGCCUGCACUGACGCUCAUGCACGAAAGCGUGGGGAGCAAACAGGAUUAGAUACCCGAGUAGUCCCUGUCUCUUAUAU